rnacentral:sRNA from 1 species
GCUGGGUGUGGUGGCGCAUGCCUGUAAUCCCAGCAGCUCGGGAGGCUGAGGCAGGAGGGUUUCGAGUUCAAAGCCAGUCCUAGUAAUUCAGUGAGGCCCUAAGCAACUCAGUGAGAUCCUGUCUCUA